GCGACUAGGCGACAAGGCGCCCCCUAGUCGCCUAGCCUCGCCUUGGCGCCUUGAAAACUAUGGCGACAACCCCUUCUCUAUCUUCUCCCGCUCUCACGGAAAAAUGAAUCUUUGGAGGGAGGGGCUUCUAGGGUUUCAGGAGGGUGUUUGAGGUUUCUAAAGGAGAUAAAUACCUAUUUUUUUUUCAUCUCAAAUAGAUUUCCUAAUCUAUUUUGGGAGUUAUGGAGGGCUGUGGAGUUGAAAACAAAUUUGUAGGAGAAAUGAGAUCCUGGGAAGGAGGUGUUGGAGACCUCUUCGGGGCCAGAACUAUCACUGUAGUCAAGUUGGAUGGUACAAACUACUUAGAAUGGUCACAACCUGCAAAGAUGGCCAUUGGUGCUCGUGGAAAAUUGGGGUAUGUCACCGGUGAGGAAAAGAAACUUGAAACUAACCAUUCCCAAUGGGUAUAGGAGAAUUACAUGGUGAUGACUUGGUUGUGUAAUUCCAUGUUGCCCCAUACAAGUAAGAACUUUUUAUGGGCUAACAUAGCUAAGGAGAUUUAGGAUGGAGUAGCAGAAACGUAUUCAUAGAAUGAGAAUGUUGCUAGAGCCUAUUGGUUGAGAAACCAGGUGAUUGCUACUGGGCAAGGAGAUAAGUUUGUUGCUAUUUAUUUUUCAACCCUCAAAACCUUAUGGCAGGAGAUAGAUCAUUUGGAGACUAUGGUUUGCGAAAGUAGCAAAGAUGUAGCAACUUAUUAGAAAUUGGUAGAAAAGAAUAGGGUUUUUGAGUUUUUAGCUAGACUUAACCUUGAGUAUAAUAUUGCAUGACAACAUAUUCUUUCUUGAGACAAUGUAACUCUCUCUUAGGCAUAUGCCUUUGUGUCUAGAGAGGAGAGUAGGAGGAAUGUGAUGUUGAGGAACCUAGGCCUUGAGAUUAGCACAAUGAAGCCUAAGCCGAGUGGGGACAAGGGUGGAAAUGAACCGAGGAAGGAGGACAAAAGGGAUAUGAUCUGUGACUACUAUAAGAAACCCAAACAUAACAGAGAUACCUGCUGGAAGCUUUACCCACACCUUGUACUGAGCCGGCUCAAAAAUAAGAAGGGAAAUGUGAAUAUGGCAGUGAUUGGUGAUUUAUUAGGGCCACCUACUACAACCUAUCUAGAAUCUGUUACAGCAGUUGCAAUGAUGCCGAAUUGGAGAGAUAUGGGCAGUUCCUGAAUCAGAAGGAUACAACUAGUUCCAACUCAUUACCAGGUGGGCAGCAAGGUGCAGGUGGAUCAGGAGGUAGUCAUUCUACCACCUAUGCUCUGGUAGAGGAUCUAGAAUCAGAGAGGACGAUUGGGAGUGGUCUUGAGGUGAAUGGAAUCUAUUUUCUUGAUGCACUUCCCAAUCAUUAAAGUCAUCAUGCUAGCAGGAGUAUUGAGUUAGAGUCAAUGGGUCAGAUUAUGCUUUGGCAUAAUCGAUUAGGACAUUUGUCUUUUGCUUCUUUGCGUUUUUUAUUUCCCAAUUUGUUUGAAUCUGUCAGUUUAUCCAAUUUGGAGUGUGAGGGUUGUCAACUUGGAAAUCAUUGUAGACAUUCCUUUAAAGCAAGUAAUAAGAGAUGCUCUUUUGUUUUU